UACGAAGGGGGCUAGCGUUGUUCGGAAUUACUGGGUGUAAAGGGUUCGUAGGCGGUGUAGCAAGUCGGGAGUGAAAUCUCUGGGCUUAACCCAGAGGCUGCUUCCGAAACUGCUGUGCUUGAGUGUGGGAGAGGCGCGUGGAAUUGCAGGUGUAGCGGUGAAAUGCGUAGAUAUCUGCAGGAACACCCGUGGCGAAAGCGGCGCGCUGGACCACUACUGACGCUGAGGAACGAAAGCUAGGGGAGCAAACAGG
rnacentral:rRNA from 1 species